AAUCUUCAACCUUCUCUGUUUCUUUUUGAUCGGGGAAAGGCUUGGACUUUGGAGGCCUCUGCUGGCAUCUCAUGAUGUCGGCUCCUCUUAAAUGCAUUAGCGGGGGUUUCCUUUUGUCAAUCCUCGACGUGAUAAAGUUUUUCUACGUCUAGGUCUUGACUUUAAGACCCGCUUCUAAUGGUCUCAUUGAGAGACGCUUGGUCGAGUUUUGCCCCUCAGUUGGGGUGGGACUUUGGCCCAUACGAACC
rnacentral:misc_RNA from 1 species